rnacentral:rRNA from 1 species
GACGAACGCUGGCGGCGUGCUUAACACAUGCAAGUCGAACGCUGAAGCUCAGCUUUUAUUGGGUGGAUGAGUGGCGAACGGGUGAGUAACACGUGAGUAACCUGCCUCCUUCUUUGGGAUAACGCCCGGAAACGGGUGCUAAUACUGGAUAUUCACUGGUCUUCGCAUGGGGGUUGGUGGAAAGGGUUUUUCUGGUGGGGGAUGGGCUCGCGGCCUAUCAGCUUGUUGGUGGGGUGAUGGCCUACCAAGGCUUUGACGGGUAGCCGGCCUGAGAGGGUGACCGGUCACAUUGGGACUGAGAUACGGCCCAGACUCCUACGGGAGGCAGCAGUGGGGAAUAUUGCACAAUGGGCGCAAGCCUGAUGCAGCGACGCCGCGUGAGGGAUGGAGGCCUUCGGGUUGUGAACCUCUUUCGCUCAUGGUCAAGCCGCAACAAUGGUUGUGGUGAGGGUAGUGGGUAAAGAAGCGCCGGCUAACUACGUG